AAUGGGAUGCGAACCCGCGAGGGGGAGCAAAUCUGAGCAAACCCGAUCUCAGUUCGGAUUGGAGGCUGCAACCCGCCUCCAUGAA
rnacentral:rRNA from 1 species